UUUGAAAUACAUUUGAAACACGAACCGCUGUAGUUACCGAAGCAGCUUUAAAAGACUCACAUAUAUCAUUUAAAAAAAAAAACAUUUGAUAAGCCAAUACUAAAUUUUGACGUCAAAGACGAGCUGUCCACUGUAGUGACUAAUGCACAGCAUUAAUGCCACUCAUUUGCAUCUAUAGAAGUGUUUCUGAAAUAAUUUCUACUGUGGCGAUGCAAAACUAAAAAUUCUCUCACAUACACACACGUUAUCACAAUAGGCCCUCUUGUCUGUGGUCAUUUCCUGCCUGAGCGACACAUUGAGUGACGCUUGUCUCACAUUGAGGGUUUGGAGACUUUGGCGUCAGCCCUCGACACACUUUGGUCACAGGUUUGAUGCCAAGCGUCAUCACGAGGCGCUGCCCAGCCACUCUUCCAAUACACCACGUUAGCACAACACAACGACCCAUGUGCUAAUGGGGUUCCACCUGGAUGUGAGCCGCAUGCGAGUGACAUUUAGCGAGCGGCUUGUGUUGCGUCCAGGUGCACCAGGACCCGCCUCCGAGAUCGACGCAUUAAUGGAGUGUCCCCCGGGGAAAAAAAAAGAAAAAAAAAACUUUCGUCAGAUUCCGUAAUUCACACUCACCGCUUUGAGAUCCAACAUGCGUGACAUUCGAUUAAAUGUGCUCAUUUGUGUGUGACGUUGAGGGAGCGUGGGAAAGAGCGGCAUUGCACGUCUUAUUUAAGGGCACGACUGUCUGUUUUAUGGACAAAGAACAACCAACAAGGAGGCUGACGACGAGUGAGAGACAACAAUGAAGGGCCCGCGACCAUGACGGGAACGACAAGGCGUCUGCAUGCCGGCGACUGAGACUACCUAACUCCAACAAGCCAAGUCUGACAACCACUUUCCAUGGCUUGUCAGUUGAAGCGGCCCUCUAUCUCUCUUCCGGGACCUGAGCGUCUCAGGCGAGUAUCUAAUUAAAUCAGUCAAUUAUGUGGCUCGUUGCUUAUGGCAAUGAUACGUGUUGAAAACAAAAAUCUCAUCAGCGCGGGUUCGACCUGGACACUUUGUCAGAGGCUCUUUCUGCUUCACGAACGGUCGACUGGCUACGCUGUGAGUGCGAGCUCCCGACAGUCUAGAAAGGCAAGGAGAAGACCAACUUUCACGUGUUUGGACGCUCCAGCGUAGCACUGAGGGGUCAGCGGGAGGGCAAGACAACAGGAAGUACAUGCAGCAACACACUCAGGGUGUGUGUGGGAGCGUCAGUGUGCGUGUGUGUGCACAGAGGCAAAAUAUGCACACGCUGCUUAGGAAUCUGUUCAAAAACACCCAGAAAUUGGACAGCGAUGUAUUUAAUUCUCUCCAGGAAAUGUCUAAGCUUAGCCAGCAUCCUGGUGAGCUUGUGUGUAUUGUAUCUGUGUGUGUGUGUGUGAGUGAGUGUGUGUGUGUGUUUGAAUGUGUGCAGUUGCAGGAUCAGAGGUGGAAGGCAGCUUAAUUGCCACAGCAACAGCGGCAGAAGCGCGAGGUGAUGGGGAAGCGAUUGGCUUAGCAUGGUUAGCUUAGCAUUGUCUUUGAGUUCAUUGUUCGAUUAGUGUCAAAUCGAGGGCACAAUGAGGUUCGUGUGCGCUCAUGACUGCAUGCACCGUCUGAUUGGUGUAUUUGAAUAAAAUGACACUGGUGAGGCGGCACCGUGGAGCUGAUGUAGAGCGUUGGUCUCACAGUUCUGAGAACUAGGGUUCAAAUCCCGCCCCCAUCUGUGUGGAGUUUGCAUGUACUCCCCGUGCCGGCAUAAGUUUUCUCCGGGCACUUUG